GACGAACGCUGGCGGCGUGCUUAACACAUGCGAGUCGAACGGAAAGGCCCUGCUUUUGUGGGGAGCUCGAGUGGCGAACGGGUGAGUAACACGUGAGUAACCUGCCCUUGACUUUGGGAUAACUUCAGGAAACUGGGGCUAAUACCGGAUAGGAGCUCCUGCUGCAUGGUGGGGGUUGGAAAGUUUCGGCGGUUGGGGAUGGACUCGCGGCUUAUCAGCUUGUUGGUGGGGUAGUGGCUUACCAAGGCUUUGACGGGUAGCCGGCCUGAGAGGGUGACCGGCCACAUUGGGACUGAGAUACGGCCCAGACUCCUACGGGAGGCAGCAGUGGGGAAUAUUGCACAAUGGGCGGAAGCCUGAUGCAGCAACGCCGCGUGCGGGAUGACGGCCUUCGCGUUGUAAACCGCUUUCGCCUGUGACGAAGCGUGAGUGACGGUAAUGGGUAAAGAAGCACCGGCUAACUACGUG
rnacentral:rRNA from 1 species